rnacentral:rRNA from 1 species
GAUCUCAAGUGAAGCGAGACUACCCCCUGAAUUUAAGCAUAUUAUUAAGGGGAGGAAAAGAAAAUAACAAUGAUUCCCCUAGUAACGGCGAGUGAAGCGGGAAGAGCUCAAAUUUGAAAUCUGGUAGACUCAGUCUAUCCGAGUUGUAAUCUAUAGAAGCAGUUUCCGUGCUGGCCCAUGUACAAGUCCCUUGGAACAGGGCGUCAUAGAGGGUGAGAAUCCCGUUCUUGACAUGGACUACCAGUGCUUUGUGAUCUGUUUUCAACGAGUCGAGUUGUUUGGGAAUGCAGCUCAAAUUGGGUGGUAAAUUCCAUCUAAAGCUAAAUAUUGGCGAGAGACCGAUAGCGAACAAGUACCGUGAGGGAAAGAU